ACGAACGCUGGCGGCGUGCCUAAUACGUGCAAGUAGAACGCACAGUUUAUACCGUAGCUUGCUACACCAUAGACUGUGAGUUGCGAACGGGUGAGUAACGCGUAGGUAACCUGCCUGGUAGCGGGGGAUAACUAUUGGAAACGAUAGCUAAUACCGCAUAAUAUUAAUUAUUGCAUGAUAAUUAAUUGAAAGGUGCAAUUGCACCACUACCAGAUGGACCUGCGUUGUAUUAGCUAGUAGGUGAGGUAACGGCUCACCUAGGCGACGAUACAUAGCCGACCUGAGAGGGUGAUCGGCCACACUGGGACUGAGACACGGCCCAGACUCCUGCGGGAGGCAGCAGUAGGGAAUCUUCGGCAAUGGACGAAAGUCUGACCGAGCAACGCCGCGUGAGUGAAGAAGGUUUUCGGAUCGUAAAGCUCUGUUGUAAGAGAAGAACGGGUGUGAGAGUGGAAAGUUCACACUGUGACGGUAUCUUACCAGAAAGGGACGGCUAACUACGUG
rnacentral:rRNA from 1 species